GGGCGUAAAGCGCGCGUAGGUGGCCAAUUAAGUCAAAUGUGAAAUCCCCGAGCUUAACUUGGGAAUUGCAUUCGAUACUGGUUGGCUAGAGUAUGGGAGAGGAUGGUAGAAUUCCAGGUGUAGCGGUGAAAUGCGUAGAGAUCUGGAGGAAUACCGAUGGCGAAGGCAGCCAUCUGGCCUAAUACUGACACUGAGGUGCGAAAGCAUGGGGAGCAAACAGGAUUAGAUACCCUGGUAGUCCAUGCCGUAAACGAUGUCUACUAGCCGUUGGGGCCUUUGAGGCUUUAGUGGCGCAGCUAACGCGAUAAGUAGACCGCCUGGGGAGUACGGUCGCAAGACUAAAACUCAAAUGAAUUGACGGGGGCCCGCACAAGCGGUGGAGCAUGUGGUUUAAUUCGAUGCAACGCGAAGAUACCUUACCUGGUCUUGACAUAGUAAGAACUUUCCAGAGAUGGAUUGGUGCCUUCGGGAACUUACAUACAGGUGCUGCAUGGGUGUCGUCAGCUCGUGUCGUGAGAUGUUGGGUUAAGUCCCGCAACGAGCGCAACCCUUUUCCUUAUUUGCCAGCGGGUUAAGCCGGGAACUUUAAGGAUACUGCCAGUGACAAACUGGAGGAAGGCGGGGACGACGUCAAGUCAUCAUGGCCCUUACGACCAGGGCUACACACGUGCUACAAUGGUCGGUACAAAGGGUUGCUACCUCGCGAGAGGAUGCUAAUCUCAAAAAGCCGAUCGUAGUCCGGAUUGGAGUCUGCAACUCGACUCCAUGAAGUCGGAAUCGCUAGUAAUCGCGGAUCAGAAUGCCGCGGUGAAUACGUUCCCGCGGCCUUGUACACACCGCCCG
rnacentral:rRNA from 1 species